GCGCCCGUAGCUCAGCCCGGAUAGAGCGUCAGACUCCGGAUCUGAAGGUCCCGCGUUCGAAUCGCGGCGGGCGCACCA
rnacentral:tRNA from 2 species